rnacentral:rRNA from 1 species
UACGGAGGGGGCUAGCGUUGUUCGGAAUUACUGGGCGUAAAGCGCACGUAGGCGGAUUGGAAAGUUGGGGGUGAAAUCCCGGGGCUCAACCCCGGAACUGCCUUCAAAACUCCCAGUCUGGAGGUCGAGAGAGGUGAGUGGAAUUCCGAGUGUAGAGGUGAAAUUCGUAGGUAUUCGGAGGAACACCAGUGGCGAAGGCGGCUCACUGGCUCGAUACUGACGCUGAGGUGCGAAAGCGUGGGGAGCAAACAGG